GGCAGCUUACUCGAGGGUCCGCAUGAUACUCGUAUAUUCCGGAGAUAUGGAGAUUUCACGGGAGACGCCGAUGCUGGAAAAUUACUAGUUCAGUUUUACGCCGCACCUGUUUCUGCAUGUUUGAUUGUGCACUACAGAUAACACAGUACUUUAGCUGACGGCAAAAUUAUGCUUUCUUUCAAGAUCCUUUUUCUGUAACUGUUUCUGGACGGCAGGAUUGUGCAACUUGGUACAUAUCGCAGUUCGCUUGCUGGGAUGCUUUAUACGCACAACAAAUUCUGAAGGGUGAUUAAGACCGAUUUUUAACUUAUCGCUUUGCAUUGACUGGACUUUAUCGUGAAAUAAAAAAAAGGCUUCCUGCGUUGAGUGGCGCGUGGCGCAGACUUUUCCAAAUGUCCGCGCUCAAAGGCCGCAAAACACUAGUUGUCGCUCAAGCAGUCGAACGGGUCAAACAGUCGCCGAAUAUUUCCAAACCGCUGACAAUUAUUGUAGUUCAAGCAAAAGUGAUCCACAGCAUAGUGCAUUCUACAAGCAUAAGAUCUAAGGUACCUCGAUGUACUGUGAACUGUGCACCUACUGAGUCGGUGACACUAACCAUGCACUGUGUGGAAGAUUCCCAUGAUAUUGACCACAAGAUACCAUGAAAGGAUCAUGCUGGCGAAAGGAAAGGAUAGGGGGAUGACGAAGCUGAAUAUGAGCUGGCUGCCGACAACCAGGCUGCCAAACCAGUGAAUUUAUAAUCAGUUAUACCGUUUCACCGGAAGCGUGCGAGCAUCCUGUAGUGUGUUGUCGUAGAAUCUGGGACUGGAAGAGCUGGCAACAGAAUUCUAAAAUAAAACGUAAAUGUACGCAGUAAAUAUAUUUGCUAGAAAAAAACAUUAAACUUUCAAGUCUGUUUAGAACUUACUGAAUUACAGCUGUGCAGAUACUGCAAGUGUAGAUCAUUAAUUGUGGGUUACAGUAAUAGCGCGGAAUGUUCAACCGGUGCAAUAUGUGCAUGUACUCCGUAGUCUGUAUCCGUGUAUCCGUU